GUCAUAGUAUAGAAUGUCGUCAAAAAUCAUGAAAAAAGUCAUAGUAUAGCAUGUCGUCUGAAAUCAUGAAAAAAGUCAUAGUAUAGCAUGUCGUCCAAAAUCAUAAAAAAAGUCAUAGUAUAGCAUGUCGUCUGAAAUCAUAAAAAAAGUCAUAGUAUAGCAUGUCGUCUGAAAUCAUAAAAAAAGUCAUAGUAUAGCAUGUCGCCCAAAAUCAUGAAAAAAGUCAUAGUAUAGCAUGUCGUCAAAAAUCAUGAAAAAAAUCAUAGUAUAGAAUGUCGUCAAAAAUCAUGAAAAAAAGUCACAGUAUAGAAUGUCGUCAAAAAUCAUGAAAAAAGUCAUAGUAUAGCAUGUCGUCCAAAAUCAUGAAAAAAGUCAUAGUAUAGCAUGUCGUCCAAAAUCAUAAAAAAAGUCAUAGUAUAGCAUGUCGUCCAAAAUCAUGAAAAAAGUCAUAGUAUAGAAUGUCGUCCAAAAUCAUGAAAAAAGUCAUAGUAUAGAAUGUCGUCAAAAAUCAUGAAAAAAAGUCAUAGUAUAGAAUGUCGUCAAAAAUCAUGAAAAAAGUCAUAGUAUAGAAUGUCGUCCAAAAUCAUGAAAAAAGUCAUAGUAUAGCAUGUCGUCCAAAAUCAUAAAAAAAAGUCAUAGUAUAGAAUGUCGUCCAAAAUCAUGAAAAAAGUCAUAGUAUAGCAUGUCGUCCAAAAUCAUGAAAAAAAAGUCAUAGUAUAGCAUGUCGUCCAAAAUCAUGAAAAAAGUCAUAGUAUAGAAUGUCGUCCAAAAUCAUUAAAAAAGUCAUAGCAUAGAAUGUCGUCCAAAAUCAUGAAAAAAGUCAUGGCAUAGAAUGUCGUCCAAAAUCAUUAAAAAAAGUCAUAGUAUAGCAUGUCGUCCAAAAUCAUUAAAAAAAUCAUAGUAUAGCAUGUCGUCCAAAAUCAUGAAAAAAGUCAUAGUAUAGCAUGUCGUCCAAAAUCAUGAAAAAAGUCAUAGUAUAGCAUGUCGUCCAAAAUCAUGAAAAAAGUCAUAGUAUAGCAUGUCGUCCAAAAUCAUGAAAAAAGUCAUAGUAUAGCAUGUCGUCCAAAAUCAUGAAAAAAAGUCAUAGUAUAGCAUGUGGUCCAAAAUCAUGAAAAAAAGUCAUAGUAUAGCAUGUCGUCCAAAAUCAUGAAAAAAAGUCAUAGUAUAGUAUGUCGUCCAAAAUCAUGAAAAAAAAGUCAUAGUAUAGUAUGUCGUCCCAAAUCAUGAAAAAAAAGUCAUAGUAUAGCAUGUCGUCCAAAAUCAUGAAAAAAAGUCAUAGUAUAGCAUGUCGUCCAAAAUCAUGAAAAAAAAUCAUAGUAUAGCAUGUCGUUCAAAAUCAUGAAAAAAAGUCAUAGUAUAGUAUGUCGUCCAAAAUCGUAUAAAAAAAAGUCAAUGUAUCGAAUGUUAUAAAAUGUCAUAUCAUAGAAGUUAUAUCAACAUAUGUAAAGUAAUAUUAGAUUUGUGUGUUGCAUGUAUUAUUUUAACCAUCCUUUUACUUCCAGUAGUCUAUAUUCAAUACUCUGCUGCUGAUAGGGCUGGACGAUUAAUCGAAUUUUAAUCAUGAUUUCGAUUUUGGCUUCUCACGAUCAUGAAAACAUUAUAAUCGAAGAAAAACGAUUAAUGCGCCGCACGGCGCGGCGUUUAUGUAAGUUCCUGUGCUGGAAAAGCACUGUGAAUGCACUUGUGCAGCAGCAGCAAGUGUGUGAUGUGUGUGGAUCAAUAAUAUGUGGAGCGAGCGAUUGAGAACAUGGCAGAAAGGCAGCCUUUGGUUGAGAAUAAAGGUAGGACAACUUCAGUCAUCUGUCAUUGUCACGCUGUCGUGUCUGCCCCCCAAGGCAACAGAAGCAGAAAAAAAAAGUCCAAAAAAGUUAAUAACUUACAAUUUAAGGUGAAAAGGUAGUUUCUUGCAACCCUAGAAUUCAGAUAAAAAUAUUCACAAACAAAAAAACACUUCUGGUUGCUGAUAAGUAGUGUGUAACUUCUGAUUUAACACUAAAAAUUAAAACCCUCAGCGCACUGCAGCGCAAGCAGACAGAUGGGUGAGCAGCAUGUGUCACUGACACCAGACCGGUGGAACAUGUCACCAUCAGCAUAUUAUUUUUCAUCAAUAAAAUCUAUUUUAUCAUUAUUUUGAGUCACAUUGUUGAAAGAAUUUAGCUGUCUGUGUUCAAGCAGGAUAAUAGGUCUCCAUUCAUUGCACGUCGGGCUUUCUAUUUCCUUGUCGGAGAUGGUGUUGCGUUCAAGGUCCCCCAAUAAAUGGGAAGGAAAAAAGGCAGAAUAUUCGAUUUUUUUUUCACAGUCGAAUCCCGUGCUAUCAAACUUGGGUCAGCCCUAGUAUUUAUUUUUAUUUAUUGUUUUUAUUGCUAUUAUUAUUAGGGGCCAAGCCCGAGGGGCUGAGGGAACGCGUAUGCAAGCAGACACGUUUCCUAGGACCAGCGGUGCUAGGAACCCUAUUGUUUUUGUAAAGAUUUUUAUUUUUAUUCUUCCGUAGGUAAAAGUGGUGCUGCAGGCUAAACCGUGCAAGGGAGGGCGGUGCAAUUUGGAGGGGUGGUCCAGACCCCUGCACGUACCUCAGACGCAAAAAACUAUGUAUAUCUGCCUGCAGGGGGCGCUAUAACCUAGGCCAAUGCGUUUUUGCCUAUAGCUCCCACACCGUAUGUCGCACAUUCAAAAAUCUUGUAUCCCCAGCUUCCCUGAAUAGAGCUGAAUCACUUUGCCAUAGGCCACGCCCACUUGCGCCUAGGAAGUUUUUUCGCAAAAUCACGAAAACUGGAAAACCUACUUUUUCGAACUUCUCCUUGGGAUUUUGUCCAAUCUGCGUGAAACUUGACAUAUACACUCUUCUACUGGACCUGAUCUAAAGUUAUCAAAAGAAUUUUAUUCGGUCAAAAAAUCCGCAAAUUAUUAACAAACAAACUUCUAUAGCUAGCUAUAAAAAUGCUGUUGGACUGUUGGAUAUCUCGGUCAAACUAAAUGCUAUUAACACCAAAUUUGAGAUCAUUGGUUGGCAUAAGACUGUGAGGGUAUGAGCCGAAUUUGCCGAAUUUUGGCAACUAGGGGGCGCUACAAAUAUGGUAAGUUUAUAUCUCUUGAACGACUGCACCGAUUUCUACGAAAUUCGGUUGGUAUGAUGUAGGGCCAAUUCUGAGGUCACAUCUUGAAGCUGGUCAUGACUGGUCAAUGUGGGCAUGGCUUAUUACAAGAUAAACAACAAACAUUAAUUUCAGCCAAACUAUUAUGCUGAGGGCUUUGAAAUUUUAAGGGUACAUAUAGAAUAGGACACAGAUAUUCCGUACCAAAAAUUGCACAUGUACUCCACUAGGUGGCGCUAUAACGGAUGCAAACGUGUUUUUGUGUGUAACUUACACAUUUUAAAUGACACAUUCAUAAACAUUAUAUCCAUGUGUUCCCUGAAUAGAGGUGGGUUUUCUGACACAGGCCACGCCCACUUCUACUGCACAUUCUCUUUACUAAUUUGCCACAUGUCCAAAACCUACUUUUUCGAACUCCUCCUACAUUUUAAGUGCCACCUACCUGAAACUUUGCACAUUGAAUCUCCAGAUGUGUCUGAUGAAAAGUUAUCAAAAGAAUUUUGGCACUCCAAAAAAUGCGCUUGUUACAACCAAACAAUCUUUUUUGCUAGCUAAAAAACACAUAUUGUUUCAUAUUUCACUAAACGUAGAUGCUUUCAACAUCAAACUUAAGUCACUCGUUCCCGAGGUCAUCCAGAGGCUUUGUGCCAAAUUCGUCGAAAAUCGGUCUAUAGGUGGUGCUAUAACGGAUGCAAAGGCAGUUUUGCCUGUAACUUCCACAUUUUAAAUAACACAUUCAUAAACAUGCGCUCGCCCAGAGCCCGUCGUCCUUCGGGGACAACUUCCAUGGGCUCCACGGGACGCAGGGACCGAGUCGCACGGGGGGGCUUGGCCCCCGUUCAUAACUGCUUGCAGUUCUAGUUUUAAUUUAUUAUUAUUAUUAUUAUUUUUAUUUUUUUUUACUUGUUUACUUGUUACUAAUUUAUUUCUGGCUGUUCUUUUAAGUUAUAAUUAAAGUUGAGUUUUGGUGGAGUUUUGAAAUCAAUGAAUAAUUGUGUUUAUUAAUCGUGAUUUCAAUAUCAAUCAAAAUAAUCCUGAUUAUUAUUUUUGCCAUAAUUGUCCAGCCCUAGCUGCUGAAUCAAACUGGGCUCCACUAACAUGCUCAGGUCUGCUGAGGCUGACGUUAAAGGCUGAUGAAUUUUAACAUCUCAUGGUGGAUGUGACACAAACUCUGUGCAGACAGAACCUACUGUACCUGCGCAUCACAUCACAUCACAUCACAUCACAUCACAUGCCUCACCUGUCUGCUCUAACAGCCAGAUGAGUAAAUAACACCAGAGAAAUCAAUGUUUCACAGUAUAUCCCAUCAACAUGACUGACUGCACAGGGAACCAGUGAAAUGACAGAAAUGACAAACAAAAAACGAGGAAACACGAAAGAGGAAACAUUUGAGAGAAGUCAGACUGAGUGUCAGUCCCUGCAGGAGGAGAGCUUUCACAGUAAAGAAUGAACAAAGCUUAAAUAAUCAGAAUGUGAUUGUAAUGUAAAGUAUAAAGAUU